rnacentral:rRNA from 1 species
ACGAACGCUGGCGGCGUGCCUAAUACAUGCAAGUCGAACGAAACUUUCUUACACCGAAUGCUUGCAUUCACCGUAAGAAGUUGAGUGGCGGACGGGUGAGUAACACGUGGGUAACCUGCCUAAAAGAAGGGGAUAACACUUGGAAACAGGUGCUAAUACCGUAUAUCUCUAAGGAUCGCAUGAUCCUUAGAUGAAAGAUGGUUCUGCUAUCGCUUUUAGAUGGACCCGCGGCGUAUUAACUAGUUGGUGGGGUAACGGCCUACCAAGGUGAUGAUACGUAGCCGAACUGAGAGGUUGAUCGGCCACAUUGGGACUGAGACACGGCCCAAACUCCUACGGGAGGCAGCAGUAGGGAAUCUUCCACAAUGGACGCAAGUCUGAUGGAGCAACGCCGCGUGAGUGAAGAAGGUCUUCGGAUCGUAAAACUCUGUUGUUAGAGAAGAACACGAGUGAGAGUAACUGUUCAUUCGAUGACGGUAUCUAACCAGCAAGUCACGGCUAACUACGUGCCAGCAGCCGCGGUAAUACGUAGGUGGCAAGCGUUGUCCGGAUUUAUUGGGCGUAAAGGGAACGCAGGCGGUCUUUUAAGUCUGAUGUGAAAGCCUUCGGCUUAACCGGAGUAGUGCAUUGGAAACUGGAAGACUUGAGUGCAGAAGAGGAGAGUGGAACUCCAUGUGUAGCGGUGAAAUGCGUAGAUAUAUGGAAGAACACCAGUGGCGAAAGCGGCUCUCUGGUCUGUAACUGACGCUGAGGUUCGAAAGCGUGGGUAGCAAACAGGAUUAGAUACCCUGGUAGUCCACGCCGUAAACGAUGAAUGCUAGGUGUUGGAGGGUUUCCGCCCUUCAGUGCCGCAGCUAACGCAAUAAGCAUUCCGCCUGGGGAGUACGACCGCAAGGUUGAAACUCAAAGGAAUUGACGGGGGCCCGCACAAGCGGUGGAGCAUGUGGUUUAAUUCGAAGCAACGCGAAGAACCUUACCAGGUCUUGACAUCCCGAUGCUAUUUCUAGAGAUAGAAAGUUACUUCGGUACAUCGGUGACAGGUGGUGCAUGGUUGUCGUCAGCUCGUGUCGUGAGAUGUUGGGUUAAGUCCCGCAACGAGCGCAACCCUUGUUGUCAGUUGCCAGCAUUAAGUUGGGCACUCUGGCGAGACUGCCGGUGACAAACCGGAGGAAGGUGGGGACGACGUCAAGUCAUCAUGCCCCUUAUGACCUGGGCUACACACGUGCUACAAUGGACGGUACAACGAGUCGCGAGACCGCGAGGUUUAGCUAAUCUCUUAAAGCCGUUCUCAGUUCGGAUUGUAGGCUGCAACUCGCCUACAUGAAGUCGGAAUCGCUAGUAAUCGCGAAUCAGCAUGUCGCGGUGAAUACGUUCCCGGGCCUUGUACACACCGCCCGUCACACCAUGAGAGUUUGUAACACCCAAAGCCGGUGGGGUAACCGCAAGGAGCCAGCCGUCUAAGGUGGGACAGAUGAUUGGGGUG